AUUGAACGCUGGCGGCAGGCCUAACACAUGCAAGUCGAGCGGCAGCGGGAAAGUAGCUUGCUACUUUUGCCGGCGAGCGGCGGACGGGUGAGUAAUGCCUAGGAAAUUGCCCAGUCGAGGGGGAUAACAGUUGGAAACGACUGCUACUACCGCAUACGCCCUACGGGGGAAAGCAGGGGACCUUCGGGCCUUGCGCGAUUGGAUAUGCCCAGGUGGGAUUAGCUAGUUGGUGAGGUAAUGGCUCACCAAGGCGACGAUCCCUAGCUGGUCUGAGAGGAUGAUCAGCCACACUGGAACUGAGACACGGUCCAGACUCCUACGGGAGGCAGCAGUGGGGAAUAUUGCACAAUGGGGGAAACCCUGAUGCAGCCAUGCCGCGUGUGUGAAGAAGGCCUUCGGGUUGUAAAGCACUUUCAGCGAGGAGGAAAGGUUGAUGCCUAAUACGUAUCAACUGUGACGUUACUCGCAGAAGAAGCACCGGCUAACUCCGUGCCAGCAGCCGCAGUAA
rnacentral:rRNA from 1 species